UACAGUGGGAAAAUGCUAUGAAAAUAAGGGAGCAGAACAACAAAUAAACAACUAUAUUUCAACUGGAGUGAUGGAAGAGCACCAGGGGAGCAGUGAAAUCCAUGUAGAGCAUGGAAACCCAGGAUAGAUCCACAGAGAGGAAAGCAGCAUCCUACCUCUGCCACUGUUUCCCCUGCUAUGUCUGGCUUGGAGCCAAGAGGGACUUUUUAUAGAAUAAAAAGAAAAAAUAAGCUGGA
rnacentral:lncRNA from 1 species